rnacentral:lncRNA from 1 species
UUAAGAGUUGAUGUUUGCACUGUGGAUAAGUCUCACCUCGAGGAGUGCCUGGGUGGAGCACAAAUUAGCCUGGCUGAAAUAUGUAGAUCUGGAGAGAAGUCAACACGCUGGUACAACCUUCUUAGUUAUAAAUAUCUUCAGAAGCAAAGCAGAAAACACAAACAAGGGGAUAUUUGUUCUGCAGUAUCCUGUGCUGAAAAAACAGACUCUGUAUCUGCACUGCUGGAACAGACUGCUGUUGAACUGGAAGCAGUAGAGAAGAAGCUGGAAGAAAGCAGAAGCACUUUAACUAGUGGAGAG